AAAGGUACUCAAGGGCACAUAAUGGAUGCCUAGACGUAUAUUACCGAUGAAGGACGUGGAAGACUGCGAUAAGCUUCGGGUAGCUGUCAACAAGCUUUGAUCCGGAGAUUUCCGAAUGGGGAAACCCAACACGAGUCAUGUCGUGUUACCCUUGUCUGAAUACAUAGGACAUGAGGCGGGAACCAUCUGAACUGAAACAUCUUAGUAGGAUGAGGAAAAGAAAGUAAAUAACGAUUACGAAAGUAGUGGCGAGCGAAAUCGUAAGAGCCCAAACCUUAUAGAUUUUUAUUUAUAUAAUAAAUAAGCUGAUAGGCGAAUAUCUAUGAGGGGUUGUGAUAUUACAUAUGACCAAGUCAGAGCAUUUGAUUAGUUCAAAUAAUCUGAUUUGCGAUAAUUGUCUAUCAACAAUUAGUAAGGUAAGAAAAUUGCGUGGUUAGCAGAAUAGUUUGAAUGACUAGCCAAAGAAUGUGAAAGCCGUGUACGCGAAAACGACGCUGACCUUAUGUAUGUUUUAUCGAGUAGGACGGGGCACGAGAAACCCUGUUUGAAUCUGGCUGGACCACCAGCCAAGGCUAAAUAUAAUAUACGAUCGAUAGUGAACUAGUACAGUGAUGGAAAGGUGAAAAGAACCCCGGGAGGGGAGUGAAAUAGAUCCUGAAAUUUAGUGCCUACAAGGAGUCGGAGCCGGCUUGUCCGGUGACGGCGUGCUUUUUGUAGAACGAUCCAGCGAGUUAAUUUUUACAGCGAGGUUAAGUCAAUUGACGGAUCCACAGUGAAAGCGAGCCUGAAUAGGGCGUUUAGUUGUAAGGAUUAGACCCGAAACCGGGUGACCUAACCAUGAGCAGGUUGAAGCCACUGUAACAGGUGGUGGAGGACCGAACCAGGAUACGCAGCAAAGUGUUUGGAUGACUUGUGGUUAGCGGUGAAAUGCCAAUCGAACUCGGAGAUAGCUGGUUCUCCUCGAAAUAGCUUUAGGGCUAGCGUCAUGUUAGUAAUGUAUGGGGGUAGAGCUCUGUAAAGGAUUGGGGCGGGCAACUGUACCCACCCUUAACAAACUACGAAUACCGUAUAUGUAAUCAUGGCAGUUAGAACAUCGGUGCUAAGAUCGGUGCUCAAAAGGGAAACAGCCCAGACCAUCAUCUAAGGUCCCUAAAUAUACAUUAAGUGGGAAACAAGGUGAAAUUUCUUAAACAGCGAGGAUGUUGGCUUAGAAGCAGCCAUUCAUUUAAAGAGUGCGUAACAGCUCACUCGUCAAGAGAUUUUGCGUGGAAAAUGUAACGGGGCUAAAUGUAUUACCGAAGAUAUGGAUUAUUACAUUAGUAAUAGUGGUAGAGGAGCGUUCCUAUCAGCAGUGAAGCAGUAUUGAAAAGUAUUGUGGAGCGGUAGGAAGUGAGAAUGCUGGAAUGAGUAACCAUAAGAUAGGUGAGAAUCCUGUCGGCCGUAAGAGCAAGGUUUCCUGAGCUAUGGUAAUCAUCUCAGGGUUAGUCGGGCCUAAGCCGAGGCGCAGAGCGUAGGCGAUGGACAUCAGGUUAAUAUUCCUGAACCGGUUAAGUUUUGUACACUGUUCACGGGGAAGUAAUCGAAGCGGAUUCAUGGUUUAUCCGUCCAACCGAGCGGGAACGCAAAGGGAGUGAAAGUGAUUCUUCGGAGUCGCGAUUUUGGUGAAAGCCCUGGCUAGAAAAGCAGGUGUACGCGUGGACUUAGCCGCCCGUACCGCAAACCAACACAGGUGCUCGAGUCGAGUAGACUCAGGCUUACGAGCGAACCUUCGCUAAGGAACUCGGCAAUACAGCGACCGUAACUUCGGGAUAAGGUCUGCCCCCACUUCGGUGGAUAUCAGCCGCGUUCACUCAGUGAAUAUUAGGUUAAAGAGUACAUUUUUAAUCACAAAACGAAUUUUCUGAGAUAGAGCAAUGAAUUGUUCUUUUGAACGCGAAUCUCUGACAUCUAACGAUGUGGGGGCCGCAGCAAAAGAGCCCACGGAACUGUUUAUCAAAAACACAGGUCUCUGCUAACACGAAAGUGGAUGUAUAGGGGCUGACUCCUGCCCAAUGCUGGAAGGUUAAGGGGAGUGCUUCACGGUGCGAACUGAAGCCCUAGUCAAUGGCGGCGGUAACUAUAACCGUCCUAAGGUAGCGAAAUUCCUUGUCAGGUAAGUUC
rnacentral:rRNA from 1 species